rnacentral:rRNA from 1 species
UACAGAGGUCUCAAGCGUUGUUCGGAUUCAUUGGGCGUAAAGGGUGUGUAGGUGGCGCGCUAAGUCGGGUGUGAAAUUUCGGAGCUUAACUCCGAAACUGCAUUCGAUACUGGCGUGCUUGAGUACUGGAGAGGAAACUGGAAUUUACGGUGUAGCAGUGAAAUGCGUAGAGAUCGUAAGGAAGACCAGUGGCGAAGGCGAGUUUCUGGACAGUUACUGACGCUGAGGCACGAAGGCCAGGGGAGCAAACGGG